rnacentral:lncRNA from 1 species
CUCUGGUUUCCUUGAUUACACUUAAAUAUAUUACCAAGAGAACGCUUCUCUUAUCAGUGUUUCAGUAUGAAAAUUAUGAAGGGGACCUAAUGGCAGCUAUCCAUGAACUGAUUACAAUUCCAAGUUUUGAAGAUUUCAUGUUCCCUGGUAAAAAAGUAAUGAUUGUAUGAUCUCAGGAUUUUCUGUGACGCAGUUUGGGAUCUUCCUCUAACAACAGGAGACACUAUUUUUGAUGUAUUUAUCUAGUUUAAUAUUAACUAUCUCAACAGAUGAUGCUCAUGAAACUUUCUUCAUUGAUAGUUUUCUGGUUGAAGAAAGAGAAUCUCCUCUUCCCUUUUGGAUCCUAUUCUGGUUUUGUAAAAAUCAUAUAUACUUAUUGCAAAGAAUUCAAGCAGAGCAGAAAGAGUUCGAAGAGGAAAGUUAAAGAGAGCAAUCACCUGCAUUUCUGCCCCUGGAAAACAGCCAUUUGUGAUUUAAGGAGAAUACAAGCCCUGACCAAAGAUUCUUAAUAACUGAAGACAUGUCUAAGCAAAGAGGAUUUCCAGAACACGCUUCCCAUGAAUUACACUUAGAGUUUGCAUUUUGAUUGGAACUGCCGACAGAGUGCGAUUUGAAGCCCCUUUGCUAAAACCUAAUAUUUCCA